rnacentral:rRNA from 2 species
GUCGAACGAACUCUGGUAUUGAUUGGUGCUUGCAUCAUGAUUUACAUUUGAGUGAGUGGCGAACUGGUGAGUAACACGUGGGAAACCUGCCCAGAAGCGGGGGAUAACACCUGGAAACAGAUGCUAAUACCGCAUAACAACUUGGACCGCAUGGUCCGAGCUUGAAAGAUGGCUUCGGCUAUCACUUUUGGAUGGUCCCGCGGCGUAUUAGCUAGAUGGUGAGGUAACGGCUCACCAUGGCAAUGAUACGUAGCCGACCUGAGAGGGUAAUCGGCCACAUUGGGACUGAGACACGGCCCAAACUCCUACGGGAGGCAGCAGUAGGGAAUCUUCCACAAUGGACGAAAGUCUGAUGGAGCAACGCCGCGUGAGUGAAGAAGGGUUUCGGCUCGUAAAACUCUGUUGUUAAAGAAGAACAUAUCUGAGAGUAACUGUUCAGGUAUUGACGGUAUUUAACCAGAAAGCCACGGCUAACUACGUGCCAGCAGCCGCGGUAAUACGUAGGUGGCAAGCGUUGUCCGGAUUUAUUGGGCGUAAAGCGAGCGCAGGCGGUUUUUUAAGUCUGAUGUGAAAGCCUUCGGCUCAACCGAAGAAGUGCAUCGGAAACUGGGAAACUUGAGUGCAGAAGAGGACAGUGGAACUCCAUGUGUAGCGGUGAAAUGCGUAGAUAUAUGGAAGAACACCAGUGGCGAAGGCGGCUGUCUGGUCUGUAACUGACGCUGAGGCUCGAAAGUAUGGGUAGCAAACAGGAUUAGAUACCCUGGUAGUCCAUACCGUAAACGAUGAAUGCUAAGUGUUGGAGGGUUUCCGCCCUUCAGUGCUGCAGCUAACGCAUUAAGCAUUCCGCCUGGGGAGUACGGCCGCAAGGCUGAAACUCAAAGGAAUUGACGGGGGCCCGCACAAGCGGUGGAGCAUGUGGUUUAAUUCGAAGCUACGCGAAGAACCUUACCAGGUCUUGACAUACUAUGCAAAUCUAAGAGAUUAGACGUUCCCUUCGGGGACAUGGAUACAGGUGGUGCAUGGUUGUCGUCAGCUCGUGUCGUGAGAUGUUGGGUUAAGUCCCGCAACGAGCGCAACCCUUAUUAUCAGUUGCCAGCAUUAAGUUGGGCACUCUGGUGAGACUGCCGGUGACAAACCGGAGGAAGGUGGGGAUGACGUCAAAUCAUCAUGCCCCUUAUGACCUGGGCUACACACGUGCUACAAUGGAUGGUACAACGAGUUGCGAACUCGCGAGAGUAAGCUAAUCUCUUAAAGCCAUUCUCAGUUCGGAUUGUAGGCUGCAACUCGCCUACAUGAAGUCGGAAUCGCUAGUAAUCGCGGAUCAGCAUGCCGCGGUGAAUACGUUCCCGGGCCUUGUACACACCGCCCGUCACACCAUGAGAGUUUGUAACACCCAAAGUCGGUGG